UCUCAGAUAGUAUAGUGGUCAGUAUUUCGGCUUGUCACGCCGGAGGCCGGGGUUCGAUUCCCCGUCUGAGAG
rnacentral:tRNA from 1 species